AUGACCAGCCCCCACCUAGGUCUCGGCCUCGCGCCGUCGCCCGCUGACCCUUCCGCCGCGCCGCCGUCCCGCCGAGCCCCUCGGCUGGCCAAGCGCCGACACGCGGCCACCACCUCCCGCUCUCGCGCGCAACCGUCGCCCUCGACCUCGACCUCGGCGCCGUGGAAUCCAUUCCUCGGCGGCGGUACGGAUGCAUCGGGGCAGGACGGAAGUGGCGGGUCGGGGAGUGUGGCUGGUGGCGGUGGUUACGAAUUCGGGAAGGGCCAGAAGGUGGGCAAUGUGUUUGGACCUGCUCCAACAGCGAGGCAGUCGCCGCCGGCGUCAUCCAAUGAAGCUCCCUUCGUGUUUGGGAGCGUGAGGGACAGCCUGCCACGGUUUGAUGUGGGCUCAUCAGCUGCUUCGAAGCUGGACCAUAAGAUGGGGAAGCUGAACCUGCAGAGUCCAGGUAAAUGCAGCGUUGGUGCUGGUAAGGGGGUGGAUCAAACCGAGAAGAGCUUUGUCUUUGGUGCUACUAUACCUAGUUCGGUUUGCAGCAGCGAGGCCAAUGUGCUCCCGGAAAAGCUGACACAGUUGAAUAUAGGAACCGAAGUGCCAUUACAGAAUGAGGAUGCUAAAGUUGGGCCAAAAACGUUUGUGUUUGGAAGUAAUGGGGCUGGGAGUUUUGCUGAUAGUAGGAGCACUGCUUCCUCUUGUGCCGAUUCAUAUGCUUCCAGUUCAGUUCAGGUUACCAAGGCAAAUGGUACACCGGAAAGUGGCCAUGCUGAAAGCACCAAUGCUGCUGCUGCAGAUUAUCGUGCUCAUGAUGCAAGUGUUCUUCAGGAGAAGAUAACACAGUUGAAUAUAGGAAGUGGCACGUUUCAGUACAUGAAAGAUGGAGGUAGUGGUAGUCGUCAAACUGAAGUGCUUGGCUUUGGGGAUGGCCGAACUGCAGGUACUAUAUUUGGCAACGCUUCAAGCAAUACUUCAGACAAGGGCAGUAUAUUUUUCUCCUUUGGGAAUAGCAAUGCUUCUAUCUCUGCCAAUGGUGCUGCCAAUGUACCUCCAGAGAGGGCAUCAAAUUUGAAUGUUGGAGGUGGAGUUACACAGAGCAUGAAAAGUGAUGAUACAAAUUGUUCACCAGAGGCUUUUGUAUUUGGAAGAAAUGGAAGCACAUACUCUGCUUCAGAGCAGUCAGCAAGGGUUGUCAUGGAUGAUGGUGAUAAUAGUGGCAGUGGUGCAAGUACAAGCACUUGUACUUCAGCUCAUGGUACUAUGGGAAGCACACUUCCGGAGAAGAUGACAAAGUUAAAUAUAGAGCAGGUGAUCCCAUCUCAGAGCAUGAAGGAUGAAGCUGCUACUCGGCAACCAGAACCAUUUGUUUUUGGUAGUAAUGCAACUUCAAGUUUUUCUUCUUUGAAGAAGACCACAUCAUUCACAAGCUUUCAAACUAAUGUAUCCUCUGAAUCAAAGGGCAGCAGAAGAAACUUGGCUAAUGAUAGCAGUGGCAGCAGUGUAACUGCUCUAUCUGAAGGGGCUGCAGAACAUGCACUGCAAGAUGAAAUCAAGAAAUUAAACAUCAACAAGGAAGGACCUUCAGCUGGAAAUGUCAACGCAAAUGAUGCUUGUACUCCUAAAUUUUCCUUUCAGAGCAAAGCAGAAGCUGUGCCAGGAUAUUGUACCUUUCCUCAGCCCAAACUUCAGGAGUCAUGCCCGUUUGCUCCGUUGAAUCAUUCAUCUACUUUCUCUGCGUCUGCAAAUGCGAUGCCGUCUUUCAGUUCCAAUCCUCCAAAUGGAGGAAGCGAAAGUGCUCCUGGUGAAUCUUGUGCGGUCAAACAAGAUCCUGCUAGCUGCUCCAGAGAGAGCUUAUUUGGUAUAGACUAUAUAAAAUCAGCGUAUAGAGACAAAAAGGAAGCACAUAAAAGCACGAGGAAGAAGAAAAGACCAACUAGGCUAAAACAACAUGGUCAACUCCAUCAAGUUUCUCAAGAAACAUGCGCCAAUGGACUAGCUUCAGAUUUAACAGGUGACUAUUCACCAAUGGAUUGUUCUCCUUAUCAGGCAGCAGUUGAACAAGCGCCAAGAAAGGCAUCCGUGAGUUGUGAUCAGUCCACUGACAUUUGUGAUAGCAGUGUCCCAAAUCAGAAUACCACUUGUGCUGAAGAUGAUCUAGUUUCUGCAACUGAGCACUUGGUUAUUGAUGCAGAUCUUCAAACGUGUCAAGAUGAAGGCAGAGAUCCCAUUGCGGAUGCAUCUGAGAGUAAUUUUGGUAGCAACUUUUCUAGUUUCGAUGGAGAAAUAAAUUUCUGUGAUGCACCACAGCCCAUUUUCACUAAUAUGAAUGUUGAUGCAAAUGGUGAACCUAAAAUGUACACAACAGAAGCUUGGGUUGAUGGUUCUGGAUGUAAUGUUAGUGGGCCGACUUGCGAAGAGAACAACUCCAGAACACCACAUGAGUCUGGUGAACCUGUUAAUUAUAAAUCAAGCUCGGCAAAUUUGAGUGGGCUGAACUUCACCUUUGGUGCAUCACUGUAUCCUGAAAGUUCCUUACCGACAAAAAGACAUACUACAAAAAGGAAGUUAAGGACUAAGGUUGGUCAGGCGCCUAAGCCUUCAGCUACUCAGGCUUCUGUACAACCAAAAGGCUCACAAGACACAAAAAGCAUGCAGUUUUCUCCAGAAACAAGUACAACAGAAAAUUCAGUGAAAGAGCAGUUGAGGAGAGAUGCAUCAGUUUCGGCAGACUUGGAGACUUGUGAGACCUGGCGUACAAGUGGGAAUCAAGCCUAUGCAAAUGGUCACUUUGCUACUGCAGAGGGGUGUUAUACCCGUGGAAUAAAUUCGAUUUCCCAGUAUGGAACUUCUGGACGCUGUUCCCAUGCGUUGAUGCUGUGCUAUAGCAACCGCGCAGCUACUAGAAUGUCUCUGGGGAGAAUGAGAGAAGCUCUUCAAGAUUGUUCGAUCGCGACAUCUAUUGACCCCACCUUUCUUAAGGCUAAAGUUCGUGCUGCAAAUUGCCAACUUGCGCUUGGGGAUCUUGAAGGCGCAUCAAACAAUUACACAGCCUGUUUGAAAUCUAGUAACACUGCUUAUUCUGACACCAAAAUGUUUGCUGAGGCUUCUAAUGGUCUGGAAAGAGUCAAGGCAUUGGCAGACUAUAUAUCCCAGUCCAGGGAGCUUCUUAAGAAAAGAACAUUGCCUGAUGCAGAAACGGUUUUGGAUCUUAUCUCCAGUGCAUUGCACAUAAGUUCACACUCGGAUAACUUAAUGGAGAUGAAAGCAGAGGCACUGCUGACGCUACGAAGGUAUGAAGAAGUAAUUGAACUCUGUCAAGAAACAGCAGAUUUGGCUGCAAGAAAUUCUGUUUCAAUUAAUGCCAAUGGAGAGCCAAAUAUUUCUAGUGUGUCUGAAAAGGCAGAAUGCUCUGCAACACUUUGGCGACCAUACCUCAUUUGCAAGUCUUACUUCCUUCUAGGCAAGCUUGAAGAGUCUCUUGACUUGCUAAAGAGGCAUGAGCUGGCAACACCUGCCGAAGAGAGUGACGGGGGCACUAGAAAAUGUUUCUCAUCAUUGUCUACAAGUAUAAGGAAACUUCUUUCCUUCAAGGCUGCGGGGAAUGAAUCAUUUCAAGCUCGGAGAUAUUCGGAAGCUGUGGAACAGUAUUCAGCGGCUUUGGCAUACAAUAGUGAUUCACGGCCCUUUUCAGCUGUCUGCUUUUGCAACCGUGCAGCUGCAUAUCAAGCACUUGGUCAACUUACUGAUGCAAUUGCAGAUUGUUCACUAGCCAUGGUUCUCGACGAAAAUUAUCCCAAGGCAAUUUCCAGGCGGGCUACCUUAUAUGAGAUGAUAAGGGAUUAUGGACAGUCUGCUAAUGAUUUACGGAAGCUAAUCUCACUUCUUCAAAAGCAAGCCAAUAAUAAGCCUGGAGUAUCACCAAAAGUUUUCAACAAGCAUAGCGACCUGAAGCAGGCGCGUGCUCGACUUCUAUCUGCGGAGGAUGAAGCAAGAAAAGAUACUCCCUUGAAUUUUUAUUUAAUCUUGGGAGUUGAACCGUCCUGUUCUCCAGCAGAUGUUAAGAAGGCCUACCGAAAAGCUGCAUUGAGACACCACCCGGAUAAGGCCACUCAAUUGCUUGUAAGAAAUGAGAAUGCCGAUGAUGGGUUUUGGAGGGAUGUUGCGAAGGAGGUUUAUGCAGAUGCUGAUCAUCUCUUCAAAACGAUUGGAGAGGCAUAUAAUAUUCUUUCAGAUCCUCACAAGCGUGAAGAAUAUGAUAUUGAAGAGAAUCUAAGAAAUGCUAGCAGGAGAGCUUAUAAGGGGAGGAGUACACCGAGGUCGCCCGAACAGCACUACAGAAGACAUUAUGACGGGGGUUUCAACCCUCGACAUUGGCAAUCUGCGGGGCAAUCAAACAAAGGUGCACCACACUCGCGCUGGUCUGGAUAUGAAUAUUCGGAUGACUACUGGUAA
rnacentral:rRNA from 1 species